UUAUUGAUUUUAUUCAUAUUUUGGGUAAGAAUACAUAGAUAUUACCUUUUGUAUCAGGGUUGGUUUAGUUAUUCAAUAAUUUAUAUUUCUCGAUAUUAACUGAGUUAAAUAAAUUAUUAUGUGUUGAAUAACUAUGUAAAUUUAUUUAGUAAUGAAAAAUUUUCGUAGUUGAAGUUAUCUAGUUGCUAAGUUAAAUAAUAGGAGGGAUAAGCUUUUUAUUAUUAUAUAUUUUAUCUCCGGUGUUAUGAAUUAGGCUUAAGAUUAGCCAUAUUAAUAAUUUGUUUUAAAGAAUUCAUGUUAGUAAGACAGUAUUAUUUUUGUGGGUUGUUUAGUUUUAUACAGUAAUUUUAUUAAAAAUGACUAAAUUAGUAUUUUUUUUUCUGUAAAAUAGAAUUCGGAAGUCGUAGAAUAGUUUAUCAAAAACAUUUUUUUACUUGUGUAAAAUAAGGCCUGCCCGGUGUAGUAUUAACGGCUGCGGUAUUUUGACUGUGCUAAGGUAGCAUAAUAAUUUGUUUUUUAAUUGAAAACUGGAAUGAAAGGUUUUAUCUGCGAGUGAUUUUAUUUUUUAGCGUAAAUAAUUUAUAUUUAUGGUAAAAAUACCAUAAUUUUAUAAAGUGACGAUAAGACCCUAUAAGCUUUAUUUAUAAAGUAAGAAGGCCAAUUAUUUAGCGUUUUUUUGUUUUAUUAAUUUUGCUGGGGCAGUAAUAUUAUGUAAUUUAAUAUGCUAAAGACAUAGAUAAAUGAGUGUAAGAUCUUUUUAUAAAGAUAAUUAGUUUAAGUUACUGUAGGGAUAACAGCGCAAUAAUUUUGGAGAGGCCUUAUUGAUAAAAUUGAUUGCGACCUCGAUGUUGAAUUAAGAUUUCUUUUUGUUGCAGAAGGCAGAGAAGAAGGUUUGUUCAACCUUUAAAUUUUUACAUGAUUUGAGUUCAAAUCGGUUUAAGCCAGAUUGGUUUCUAUCUUUUAUAUAUUAUGAUUUGUGUAAGUACGAAAGGGACACGUAAGGUUU
rnacentral:rRNA from 1 species